UCUAAGGUUCUUUUAAGAACCCUAAAAGCUACCCUUAAGAAUAUUCU
rfam:Diaporthe ampelina DA_912_scaffold_v01_1352, whole genome shotgun sequence.